rnacentral:tRNA from 1 species
GCCGCUCUGGCCCAACGGCAGAGGCGCCGCGCUCAGGACGCGGAGGUUCCGGGUUCGAAUCCCGGGGGCGGCAC